GAUGAACGCUGGCGGCGUGCUUACACAUGCAAGUCGAACGGGAAAUAUUUCAUUGAGACUUCGGUGGAUUUGAUUUAUUUCUAGUGGCGGACGGGUGAGUAACGCGUGGGUAACCUGCCUUACACUGGGGGACAACAGUUAGAAAUGACUGCUAAUACCGCAUAAGCGCACAGUACCGCAUGGUACAGUGUGAAAAACUCCGGUGGUGUGAGAUGGAUCCGCGUCUGAUUAGCCAGUUGGCGGGGUAACGGCCCACCAAAGCGACGAUCAGUAGCCGGCCUGAGAGGGUGACCGGCCACAUUGGGACUGAGACACGGCCCAAACUCCUACGGGAGGCAGCAGUGGGGAAUAUUGCACAAUGGGCGAAAGCCUGAUGCAGCGACGCCGCGUGAGUGAAGAAGUAUUUCGGUAUGUAAAGCUCUAUCAGCAGGGAAGAUAAUGACGGUACCUGACUAAGAAGCCCCGGCUAACUACGUGCCAGCAGCCGCGGUAAUACGUAGGGGGCAAGCGUUAUCCGGAUUUACUGGGUGUAAAGGGAGCGUAGACGGCAUGGCAAGUCUGAAGUGAAAACCCAGGGCCCAACCCUGGGACUGCUUUGGAAACUGUCAAGCUAGAGUGCAGGAGAGGUAAGUGGAAUUCCUAGUGUAGCGGUGAAAUGCGUAGAUAUUAGGAGGAACACCAGUGGCGAAGGCGGCUUACUGGACUGUAACUGACGUUGAGGCUGAAAGCGUGGGGAGCAA
rnacentral:rRNA from 1 species